rnacentral:rRNA from 1 species
CUUGACUGUAGCCUGGAAUUGGGUUCGGGCUUUUCUUGCGCAGCCUAGGUGGGAGGCUAUGAAGAUUUCCUUCCGGGGAAGUUGGAGCCAACAGUGAGAGACCACUCUGGAAAGGCUAGAAUCCUCAUGGUGAUCCUUGAGUCAGGACACUUGACAGUUUCAGGCGGGCAGUUUCUCUGGGGCGGAGGCCUCAUAAAAGGUAACUGAGGCGCGCAAAGGUCCCCUCAGUCUGGACGGAAAUCAGACAUUGAGUGUAAAGGCAAAAGGGGGCUUGACUGCAAGACCCACAAGUCGAGCAGGAGCGAAAGCUGGCCUUAGUGAUCCGACGGUUCCGUGUGGAAGGGCCGUCGCUCAACGAAUAAAAGUUA